GCUGGGCAUAGUGACACAUGCCUGUAAUCCCAACAGCUUGGGAGGCUGAGGCGGGAGGAUCAUGAGUUCAAAGCCAGCCUCAGCCAAAGCGAGGUGCUAAGCAAUUCAAUGAGUCCCUGUCUCUA
rnacentral:sRNA from 1 species